UACAGAGGGCCCAAGCGUUGUUCGGAUUCACUGGGCGUAAAGGGUGCGUAGGCGGUCGGGGAAGUCUGAUGUGAAAUCUCCAAGCUUAACUUGGAAAUGGCAUCGGAUACUAUCCGGCUGGAGGAAUGGAGGGGAGACUGGAAUUCUCGGUGUAGCAGUGAAAUGCGUAGAUAUCGAGAGGAACACCAGUGGCGAAGGCGAGUCUCUGGGCCGAUACUGACGCUGAGGCACGAAGGCCAGGGGAGCAAACGGG
rnacentral:rRNA from 1 species